rnacentral:tRNA from 1 species
GUCUAGUUAGCUUGGAGGGUAGGGCGUCUACCUUGUAAGUGCUAGGUCGCGGGUUUGAUUCCCGCUCGAGCCA